GUGUAAGUAGGUCACGGGACUACGCGAGACCUAACGUUAUUUAGUACCUCCGGUGACAAACAACCUCUCGCGGCAAUGGCGACAGCAGUGUCACGUCGGGCAGGGCCCAGCGAGUCAUAUUUGGAAAACACAGGUGUAACUUAGAAAACAUGACACUGUCACAGUCAUUAAAACACUCGAGAUGGGGAACAUGAAUAGCAAGUGUUGGCUUGUCAAAGCAGUUGCAGUGUUGUCAAGACGUCCUAUGGUCGAUGUCAAACUGGCCGCUACCCAUUCAUAAAUAUUGAGUUGGACCAUAUUUCCAUGUUUGAGGGGAGAAAGAUUUCCUCAUCUUACUCACGAGUAGAUGCAUAUGGAUCACCAGAAUUACCUUGAUGCCAAGCAUAACUGCACCUCAAGAGCAUCUCAGACUAUAACAUAUCUUCAGAUUUCUUGGAAUAUUUUGUGGUCAAGCAUUACAUUGCCUAUGAAAGAACAACUCUUGUUGUGUAUACAGGUGUAAACAUAUUAAAGUUCUAUCUGAACAUUUUGCUGAAGUAUUGGCUCUGUAAAUGAUGUAUGUGACCAUCAGAAUACACCAUAUACACUGGACACUUGCUGGAACAGGACCUACAUGUCAUCAACAUGGUGUUGCAGAACAUCUUGGGACUCUCUCAUAAAGUCCAGUGUGAAUCUAGAUACUGACACCAGUAACAGUGCAUGCUGGCACAUUUAUUUGUUCAGGCUUGGCAUUUGGGAAUAUUUGCCAUGAAUGUUUAAUACUCAUGACCUUGAAAUAAAAUUACUGAAUAGA